GCCUAACACAUGCAAGUCGAACGGUAACAUAAGAGCUUGCUCUUGAUGACGAGUGGCGGACGGGUGAGUAACACGUAUACAAUCUACCUUUAACUGAGGAAUAGCCCAGAGAAAUUUGGAUUAAUACCUCAUAGUAUUACUUUAAGGCAUCUUAUUAUAAUUAAAACUCCGGUGGUUAAAGAUGAGUAUGCGUUCUAUUAGUUUGUUGGUGAGGUAACGGCUCACCAAGACUGCGAUAGAUAGGGGGCCUGAGAGGGUGAUCCCCCACACUGGUACUGAGACACGGACCAGACUCCUACGGGAGGCAGCAGUGAGGAAUAUUGCGCAAUGGAGGAAACUCUGACGCAGCCAUACCGCGUGUAGGAAGAAUGUCCUAUGGAUUGUAAACUACUUUUAUACAAGAAGAAACCCCCAGUACGUGUACUGGCUGACGGUAUUGUAAGAAUAAGCACCCGGCUAACUCCGUGCCAGCAGCCGCGGUAAUACGGAGGGUGCAAGCGUUAUCCGGAUUUAUUGGGUUUAAAGGGUCCGCAGGCGGGAUUCUAAGUCAGUGGUGAAAGCCUACAGCUUACUGUAGAACUGCCAUUGAAACUGGAAUUCUUGAGUGUGGUUGAAGUAGACGGAAUAUGUCGUGUAGCGGUGAAAUGCAUAGAUAUGACAUAGAACACCAUUGCGUAGGCAGUUACUAAACCAUUACUGACGCUCAUGGACGAAAGUGUGGGGGAGGCGAACAGGAUUAGAU
rnacentral:rRNA from 1 species